UGGGGAAUUUUGGACAAUGGGCGCAAGCCUGAUCCAGCCAUGCCGCGUGCGGGAAGAAGGCCUUCGGGUUGUAAACCGCUUUUGUCAGGGAAGAAAUCUUCUGAGUUAAUACCUCGGGAGGAUGACGGUACCUGAAGAAUAAGCACCGGCUAACUACGUGCCAGCAGCCGCGGUAAUACGUAGGGUGCAAGCGUUAAUCGGAAUACUGGGCGUAAAGCGUGCGCAGGCGGUUUUGUAAGACAGAGGUGAAAUCCCCGGGCUCAACCUGGGAACUGCCUUUGUGACUGCAAGGCUUGAGUGCGGCAGAGGGGGAUGGAAUUCCGCGUGUAGCAGUGAAAUGCGUAGAUAUGCGGAGGAACACCGAUGGCGAAGGCAAUCCCCUGGGCCUGCACUGACGCUCAUGCACGAAAGCGUGGGGAGCAAACAGGAUUAGAUAGCCCUGGUAGUCCACGCCCUAAAACGAUGUCAACUGGUUGUUGGGAAGGUUCCUUCUCAGUAACGUAGCUAACGCGUGAAGUUGACCGCCUGGGGAGUACGGCCGCAAGGUUGAAAC
rnacentral:rRNA from 1 species